rnacentral:lncRNA from 1 species
GAAAACACAGAUCCUGGUGCCGAACAUGAGGACAGGGCAGGCCGAAGGAGAAAGUGGAAGGAGGGGAGCUUCUCUCUCAGCCUCAUCCUUCUGGGCCUGGAUGCUGGAGAGUCAUGAGGUGCUUCAGAGUACUCUGGGUGAGGAGGGAAAGAUGGUGCCCACCACAUGGAGGCCAGCCUAGGUCUUGUAUGAAACCUGUGAGCAGGAGCCAGGCCGUGGCCUGCUGACUGCAUCUGCCAGAUGACUACCAAUGUGAGAUUCUCUCUCCCUUGCUGUCUUUGAAAAAGCAAGUUGCCAUGUGAAGAGGGCCAUAUAGCAUAGGAGCUGAAGGCAGCCUCCAACUGACGGCAAGAAAAUGAGGUCCUCAGUCUGACAACCUGCAAGAAACUGAAUGUUCUAAAAGCCACAUGAGCUUGGGAGCAGAUCUGACCCCAGCCAAAUCUCUGAAGUCCGCAGGCAGGAAAUGAAGAUCAGAAAAAGGCUAUUGUCUCAUGAAUAUGAGCCAGACUCCACAGAAGCUGGAGUCCUUCAUUAUGGAGCUAAACACAUACACCUGGCUUAGGAGUCAGAAAAACUGAAAGAGAAUUCAGGGAAGUAGAGAAAUUGCAAGCCCAGAUGCUGCUUCAUACCAAAGAAGCAAGUCAGCAGGUCAGCAACAAUGUGUAUCAGUUCCAAAAUGACUUACACAGGUACCAAGACAAGACAUUAUAUAC